rnacentral:lncRNA from 1 species
CCCGGAGUACUCUGUGGGACUUACAUGAGCUAAGAAAAUAAGAAUUUCUCUCCUUCUGCAAACAAACAACCAGUUAGAACCAAAUAACUCAGAGACAUUGUGGCCACCUUUGUUCCUACUGUAGACAAUAAAGUAGGAAAGUAGAAGACAGCCCAACUAAGAAUCUAAAACAAGAAAGGGAGAGAGCCCAGUAUGGUGGUGCACAGCUGCAGUCCCAUCGACUUGGGAGGCUGAGACAAACAUCACAAGUUAGAG